rnacentral:rRNA from 1 species
GACGAACGCUGGCGGCGUGCUUAAUACAUGCAAGUCGAACGGAAAGGCCCUGCUUUUGUGGGGUGCUCGUGUGGCGAACGCGUGAGUAACACGUGAGUAACCUGCCCUUGACUUUGGGAUAACUUCAGGAAACUGGGGCUCAUACCGGAUAGGAGCUCCUGCUGCAUGGUGGGGGUUGGAAAGAUUCGGCGGUUGGGGAUGGACUCGCGGCUUAUCAGCUUGUUGGUGGGGUAGUGGCGUACCAAGGCUUUGAAGGGUAGCCGGCCUGAGAGGGUGACCGGCCACAUUGGGACUGAGAUACGGCCCAGACGCCUACGGGAGGCAGCAGUGGGGAAUAUUGCACAAUGGGCGGAAGCCUGAUGCAGCAACGCCGCGUGCGGGAUGACGGCCUUCGGGUUGUAAACCGCUUUCGCCGGUGACGAAGCGUGAGUGACGGUAAUGGGUAAAGAAGCACCGGCUAACUACGUG